rnacentral:rRNA from 1 species
AACGCGAAGAACCUUACCAGUCCUUGACAUGUCCACUAUGGGUUUGAGAGAUCAAAUCCUUCACUUCGGGUGGGUGGAACACAGGUGCUGCAUGGCUGUCGUCAGCUCGUGUCGUGAGAUGUUGGGUUAAGUCCCGCAACGAGCGCAACCCUCAUCUUCAGUUGCCCCCGGGUCAGGCCGGGCACUCUGAAGAAACCGCCGGUGACAAGCCGGAGGAAGGCGGGGAUGACGUCAAGUCCUCAUGGCCCUUACGGACUGGGCUACACACGUACUACAAUGGUGGUGACAGUGGGCUGCGAAGGAGCAAUCCGGAGCCAAUCCCCAAAAGCCAUCUCAGUUCAGAUUGCACUCUGCAACUCGAGUGCAUGAAGUUGGAAUCGCUAGUAAUCGCAGAUCAGCACGCUGCGGUGAAUACGUUCCCGGGCCUUGUACACACCGAGACGUA